rnacentral:rRNA from 1 species
UUGAACGCUGGCGGCAGGCCUAACACAUGCAAGUCGAACGGUAACAGGAAGCAGCUUGCUGCUUCGCUGACGAGUGGCGGACGGGUGAGUAAUGUCUGGGAAGCUGCCUGAUGGAGGGGGAUAACUACUGGAAACGGUAGCUAAUACCGCAUAAUGUCGCAAGACCAAAGAGGGGGACCUUCGGGCCUCUUGCCAUCGGAUGUGCCCAGAUGGGAUUAGCUUGUUGGUGGGGUAACGGCUCACCAAGGCGACGAUCCCUAGCUGGUCUGAGAGGAUGACCAGCCACACUGGAACUGUGACACGGUCCAGACUCCUACGGGAGGCAGCAGUGGGGAAUAUUGCACAAUGGGCGCAAGCCUGAUGCAGCCAUGCCGCGUGUAUGAAGAAGGCCUUCGGGUUGUAAAGUACUUUCAG